UACGGGGGGGGGCAAGCGUUGUUCGGAAUUACUGGGCGCAAAGGGCUCGUAGGUGGCCAACUAAGUCGGACGUGAAAUCCCUCGGCUUAACCGGGGAACUGCGUCUGAUACUGGAUGGCUUGAGUUCGGGAGAGGGAUGCGGAAUUCCAGGUGUAGCGGUGAAAUGCGUAGAUAUCUGGAGGAACACCGGUGGCGAAGGCGGCAUCCUGGACCGACACUGACGCUGAGGAGCGAAAGCCAGGGGAGCAAACGGG
rnacentral:rRNA from 1 species